CGGGAUUCACAGCAACACCUCCCUGCUGUAUGCUACCAGAAAAUGCCGCAGAACUUUCAUGUGCUCCCUUUCUGACAACACCUCCAGCUGGGGUAUGUACAGACACUGUCACGAAAGUGGAGAGCUGCAUGGCCUACACAUGUGUGAUAGGGGCAUGGGUGCCAACGGGAUUCACAGCAACACCUCCCUGCUGUAUGCUACCAGAAAAUGCCGCAGAACUUUCAUGUGCUCCCUUUCUGACAACACCUCCAGCUGGGGUAUGUACAGACACUGUCACGAAAGUGGAGAGCUGCAUGGCCUACACAUGUGUGAUAGGGGCAUGGGU